CCUACGGGAGGCAGCAGUGAGGAAUAUUGGUCAAUGGGCGUAAGCCUGAACCAGCCAAGUCGCGUGAGGGAUGAAGGUUCUAUGGAUCGUAAACCCCUUUUAUAAGGGAAUAAAGUGCGGGACGUGACUCGUUUUGUAUGUACCUUAUGAAUAAGGAUCGGCUAACUUCGGGCCAGCAGCCGCGGUAAUACGGAGGAUCCGAGCGUUAUCCGGGUUUAUUGGGUUUAAAGGGUGCGUAGGCGGCCUUUUAAGUCAGGGGUGAAAUUCUGUGGCCCAAACAUAGAAUUGCCGUUGAAACUGGGAAACUAGAGUAUGUUUGAGGCAGGCGGAAUGCGUGGGGUAGCGGUGAAAUGCGUAGAUAUAACGCAGAACCCCAAUUGCGAAGGCAGCCUACUGGGCCAUGACUGACGCUGAGGGACGAAAGCGUGGGGAUCAAACAGGAUUAGAUACCCGGGUAGUC
rnacentral:rRNA from 1 species